UGAUUUCCUACUGUUCGGCGCUGAUGAUUCUGGACAUUUUUCCGUGUUGUCAAUAAUGACUUUAAUGAUCUGCAAAUUGAUUUAUAGUCGAAAAACGGAAACAUCAUUGCCUACUCAGUAAGACUACUGGGAUAUUAUGGUUCAGGUUUAUGUUUUUUAUGUUCGGUGGAUUUACUUUUGAAGGCCUAAAUAAUAUUAUUGUAGUUUCAAAAAACAUUCAGGGAGGAUAUAGUUCUGCAGCCUCGCAAGCAUCAACUGUUUGCAGAUACCUCUGGGCCACAGCAAAUCUCCCAACGGCCUCGGCUGUGACAAUAUUUUGGUUGAAAAUAAGUCAUAGGAGAAAUCCGUUUGAUUCUGGGGUACAACUCAGAAUCUUGCAUUGCCUUGGGUGAGAACACAGAGGAGGAAGAUAGAGGAUAGACAGCAAGGGAGAGGGGCCCGUCAGAGAGGUGGACAUGGGCCCCGUCUACGAGGUGGACAUCAGAGAGAGGGAUGCAGACGGCAGGAAACGGUUGUGUCUAAUGAAGUCUGGGCCAGAGGUCUUACCAUGGCAGAGGCUGCCAGAUCAGUUCACCCCAAUCUUAAAAGAGAACAUUUUGCCAAGAAAACCAUUUUCUUCCGUCGAAAGAGAGUCGGACCAAAAUGCAGCGUGGUAAGUUAGA
ensembl:lncRNA